rnacentral:tRNA from 1 species
GUGGGUAUAGCUCAGUGGUAGAGUGUGUAUUUAGCAUGCAUGAAGUCUUGGGUUCAAUCCCCAGUACCUCCA